CGCCACAGUAAAAAAUGUGGUGUUAAUAUUUCAGUGUUAACCUAAUUUAAUCUAAAUAGAGUAUUUAUAACUAUAUGGAGUGUAAAUCGGCUCUGACAUUGGAGUUAAAAGUCAGAGUAAAAUGCUACAUUCACGCAGUGAAACUUUUGACUCCGUCAAGUGUCAAUAAUGCGCCAGUAAAGAUUUUUGGCAAGAGGAGGAGGAGGAGGAGAGGAGGAAGAAAGGAGACGAAGCACCAGUUUUCUGAAGUUCGUGAGGCUGUUUCCAUUUUGGAUUCUGAACGGAGUUGUGCUACAGAAAAGGGCAGCGGGAGAAAGUUGCAUUGUGUAGGACGAGAGCCGAGGGUUAGCCCUAUGCUAGACACGUUGUCCACCUCACAAUAUUUACUCAGUUUUUUUCUGAAGGCUGUCAAGGUAAGAAUACGUAACUGUUAUAAAUUGUAAUAGUAUUAAUCACUGUGCCUUAUGCCAUAGGCCCAGAUUCCGUGGGUACUUCGGGGUCGUAGCACCCACUGAGUCACGUUAGCAUGGUUAGCACCAUGGAUGUAGCGGCUAACAGGCGCCAUAUUGCUUAUGUUCAAGUGUAUCGGGAAUAUAAACUCAGUUUUCAAAUGGCAUUUACUUUGAAACACAUUUAUUAACUAUUAAAAUGUGUCUGUCAUGGUUGUUUAUUUUCGUUAUUCUUUUUUUUCUUACAGACCAUGGUUUUGUUUGGUGGGGAGCAGAAGUACGUGAAACUUUCUGGCCUAACAUUUGAUGCAUUCGUGAGAGAAGUGUGCCUGAAAUUCAACAUUCCAGAAGGCAGACAGCAAGAUCUGAAGGUAUAUGACCAGUCUGACACAGAAGAUGUAGAUGUUUUUGAAGAAAAAGUGAAUCAGUCACCUGGAACCUUUUGAUUUAUGUUGAGCAACAAAGAUUAUCCUGGUGCUGUUUUACCAUCUUCAUCUUCAGUCACAUCUGAUGAUACUAUUAUUCUGAAUUUCACAAUGUGUGACCCAUCAGAAGAAGAAACCACUGCUUAAGGAAGCCAACCUAAAAGGCCAUGUCACAUAAAUUAUGUGCCGCAAGCAUUGAUUGAAAGAGUCUCAACAACAAAGCCUGGUGGUGAGCAUAUGAUGCAAGAACUAAAUGCUUGGCAGAUGCAACCAGAAGACAGAUGAUAAACAUCCUUACAGCUGCAAUGACAGAAGCACAUGGAUCAUACCCUCCUAAAGGUGUCAGAGUGAUGUAUGCUCAGGGGUUCGUUGCCCUAUUUCCCUAUCUGGAGGACCCGUUUUCAAAACAUGGAUAUGAGUAUUACUAUGAUCCAGAGAGCUGUUCAGGAUACAUUGCAUGGCGUUUAAAGACCAUUCAAAGAAAAACUGCAGAGGAAAGGAGUGCCUCAGGUGGCAAAUCUCCCAAAAGUAAGUUUUCUCAAUAGUGAGUAUAUGUAAAGUAAUGUAAAAUCUGUGGCUGGGAGUUAGAAACAGACAAGGCCAUGGUCAAUCCAUGGUUUUCACUGCUGACAAAGUGCUGUGAGAUGAGGAAGUGGAAGCAGCUAUUGCUGUUUUGAAACACUCUGCUGAUGAUGACACUGUCUGUGAGAAGAUGAAGACUAACUUCCAUUACCGUCAUUCAAUGGUCAAUGAUGAAAAGAAAGCAGCAAAUGUGUUCUCUGUCUUUCCACGGUUUCUGGACACACCAGGACUGAUAGAACAAGAUUUCAGACUCCUGUUUGGCGAAGGCACUGCCAACAAAUUUUUGGAGAAGUGGCCCACCAAUCUCAAAUCCAAGGUUAUAAAGGAAAGCCAUGGCCUGGUACCCACCACUGAGCUCUUGGAUUUAUUGCGGAAUGCAGAGUUGGCUGCUGAAGCUGAGAAUGGUUGGGAUAGUGACAUGUCUGCUAUUUUGCUUACCACCAUCUGCACAAGGACGAAAGAGGCCGGGUAAGAUGUCUGCAUCUCAAGCAGUGGAUCACCUCAACAGAUUUCUAAAGGUUGGAACCAGUGUACAGCAGCAUCUUGAGAAAAUCACGCAGCGUACCCAGCCCUACCUCCUUGCCCAGGGAUCCAUCCAAAGCAGUUUUCACACAUUCUUCAUUGUGAUUGACAACUAUGCUAUUCCAUGUAAGGCAACAUGUUCAGUUUUAGCUCUUGAUGAGCUCUUUAAGGCCCAUUAUGUGUUUGGUACGUCAUACAGCGCUCCCUUGACCAACUUCGUUUGGAGACGGACAAUUCACGGCCAAGUCCUGCAACAACCCAGGAUCUAGAGGGAAACAUCUAUUUUUGACUGAUAAGACUGCAAUAACAUUUGUAGCUGCAAGCAUGAGUGGACAGCCCUUGCAGUUCAGCGCCAAUCUGACCGUGUGGCGACAGCCCCAGCACCACUCCCACAUUUUAGUCAGGCUUAUCUGUGUUGCACACGUCAGCAACAAGGCAGUUCAAAAGGCUUGACAUAAAAACAUCAUAACCUCAUACAGUCACCAAUUAUGAAAAUCCGUAACAGACAUUGUAUUUGGUCAAGUGCCAUCAUUAAAAUCACUCAAACGCCACAAAUAUGUUGGUCACUGUUCUAUUUAUUACGGUUGAAAAGCAACUCUAAGGUGUUUUUUUAGUAUUGAUUUAGAGCAAAAACAGUGUUUCAGCUGUUUUGCAGUUUUCUGAAAGUUUGUCCCAGGUUUGUGGAUCACAUAGAACCUGAAUGCUGCUUCUCCCAAUUUGGUUAUGGUUCCUGGUGAUGCAGUGCAGACCAGAACCAGAAGACCCGAGAGGUCUGGAAGGUUGAUACAACAACAGCAGAUCUUUAAUGUAUUUUUUUGCUGUGCUGUUCAGCAAUUUAUAAAAGUAACAACAGUAUUUUAAAGUCUAUUUUCUGAGCCAUGAGAAGCCAGGGUAUGGAUUUUAGAACUGGGCUGAUAUGCUCUAUCUUCCUGGUUUUUCUGAGAAUUUGAGCAGCAGCGUUUAGGAUCAGCUGUCUGAUUUGGUGAAGAUCAGAUGUUGUAUCAAGGAGAUAUAAAUAGCCUAGGGGGACACAGUUGAAUCUAAUUGCAAUAUUAUCAAAUUGUCCUUCUUAGAAGGUGGCAAAAAUCAAAGGUUGGUGCAGAGUAGGGGCAGAUAUUACACGAUUAGACUUCUUUUUCCUCCCUUUCAUUCAUGAUUUCCUUUAGUCAUUACAAGAACUCUUUGUAUUUAUUAUUGAGUGAAUGAACUAAAGAUGAAAUCAAAUGUGUAGAGUUCUGGUUUGUGAAACCUUUUGAAAACGCACAGAUGCCUGGAACCAAGCUACGUGCAGCAGCCUUGUGACUUCUGUAGCUGUACAGGUAGUUUGUAAUUCUGUUGUAAUGUUUUGUAAAUUUAUUAGUCAUGGUGUUUUAAUUAUUUCAGAUUUUAAUUUAGAGUGGAAUAUUUGUUAAGGACCUCCC